rnacentral:rRNA from 1 species
CAGCAGCCACGGGAAUACGAAGGGGGCUAGCGUUGCUCGGAAUUACUGGGCGUAAAGGGAGCGUAGGCGGAUCAUUAAGUUGGGGGUGAAAGCCCGGGGCUCAACCUCGGAAUUGCCUUCAAUACUGGCGAUCUUGAGUAUGGAAGAGGUAUGUGGAACUCCGAGUGUAGAGGUGAAAUUCGUAGAUAUUCGGAAGAACACCAGUGGCGAAGGCGGCAUACUGGUCCAUUACUGACGCUGAGGCUCGAAAGCGUGGGGAGCAAACAGGAUUAGAGACCCCCGUAGUCCCUGUCUCUUAUAC